AUGACUGUACUCAAAAGAAUCAUUUCUACAGGUCAGUCUCCGCUUUGUUUAUCCAAAACAAGGCAAACCCACCGAUUCCGAUGAGGAUGAUAAAGUCUUCAGAGCAGUGAUGGUUUUUCAGUACAUCCUGGGCUUGUCCCGCGAAGUACUUGAUUUCGAUGACCUGCGGUCUCUUUUUCGGAAGCGACCGACUCUGUUGACGAACCUGAGGAAC
rnacentral:snoRNA from 1 species